AUGGGCGAAGGCGAGUCCGUAUCGGCGUUUGCCCAGAAGAUGAUGACUCUUGUCGGGGAGAUCCGGGCCCUCGGCGAGAAGAUCACCGAUGAGACGGUGGUCGAAACCCUGUUCAAUGCCGUUCCUGCGCGGUUCGGCGACAUCAUCAACACCAUCGAGCAGUGGGGCGAUCUCUCGACGAUGUCCGUGGCUGAGGCUGUCGGACGGCUGGCUGCCUUCGAGGAAAAUCAGAGAGGC
rnacentral:rRNA from 1 species